rnacentral:tRNA from 1 species
UGGCUCGGUAGCUCAGUUGGUAGAGCAAUGGAUUGAAGCUCUAUGUGUCGGCGGUUCGAUUCCGUCUCGCGCCAU